GACCCCGCACAAGCGGCGGAGCAUGCGGCUUAAUUCGAAGAUACGCGCAGAACCUUACCAACACUUGACAUGUUCGUCGCGACUUUAAGAGAUUAAAGUUUUCGGUUCGGCCGGACGAAACACAGGUGCUGCAUGGCUGUCGUCAGCUCGUGUCGUGAGAUGUUGGGUUAAGUCCCGCAACGAGCGCAACCCUCACUUUUAGUUGCCAUCAUUUAGUUGGGCACUCUGAAAGAACUGCCAGUGAUAAGCUGGAGGAAGGUGGGGAUGACGUCAAGUCCUCAUGGCCCUUACGUGUUGGGCUACACACGUGCUACAAUGGUAUCUACAACAGGAAGCAAAACAGCGAUGUUAAGCAAAUCCUUAAAAGAUACCUCAGUUCGGAUUGCACUCUGCAACUCGAGUGCAUG
rnacentral:rRNA from 1 species